GAAGUGCAGACAUACGUUGGGUGGUUUAUUGGAGUACAGGCAUAAGUGGGUGGUUUGUGGAAGGAUAUACGACAGUAGGGUAGANUAGAUAUUGGGAGGGUAGACGUAAUUUAGGUAGUUUGUGAAAGGUUAGGUAUAAUUUGGGUUGUUUGUGAGAGGAUAGCUAUAAAUUGGGUGGUGAGACGUACAGCGGGUAGUCCGUGGGAGGGUAGACAUAAUUUAGGAAGAUUGUGGAAAGAUCGGCGUAAGUGGUGCGUACUUUUGGGUAGUUUAUAGGUUGAUGUCUGUUAUGUAGUUUCUAUAAUAAACAGGUCAAAACGUUUAUAAAACUUGGACAGUGCUUAUUUUAUAAUGUAAAAAUACAUGUGUAUGUCAGUGGUAUAAUAAAGGUGUAUAUCCUGGU